rnacentral:rRNA from 1 species
UACGUAGGGUACAAGCGUUAGUCGGAUUUAUUGGGCGUAAAGAGUGCGUAGGUUGGUUUAUAAGUCUGAUGUGAAAUCCCAUGGCUCAACCAUGGAACAGCAUUAGAAACUGUAAGUCUAGAGGAUAGGCGGGGGAAGCGGAAUUCCACAUGUAGCGGUGAAAUGCGUAGAUAUGUGGAGGAACACCGGUGGCGAAGGCGGCUUCCUAGCUUAUUCCUGACACUGAGGCACGAAAGCAAGGGGAUCAAACAGG